AAACCUGAAAAGACAAAAACCGGAAAGGGAAAAAUGAUUGUUAUUAGAAACGGUUGCAGAAAAGUGGCUGUUUUGCAUACUCUCGGAACAAAUUUGCAGCUAUUGCAAGUGGGAUGUUCAUAGACGUGGAACGGGAAAUGAAAAAUGAAUUACGAAUCGGAUGGAGAAACUGUGUCAACAGCUGAGGUGGGAUCGAGCGGGAAGGGAUUCUGAAUUUAUGUAUAUUGCCGUAAUAUACGGCAAUUUUUAAAACGUUUGCUUACAAAUGUCAAAUGACAUUCCGGAAACUGAAGUUAUAAAAAUGUAAAAAUGUACACAAGUAGGAAUAUCCUAAUUUGUGAUAGAUAUAAAAUACAUUAUGAUUAAAUGAAA